rnacentral:rRNA from 1 species
GACGAACGCUGGCGGCGUGCUUAACACAUGCAAGUCGAACGGAAAGGCCCUGCUUUUGUGGGGUGCUCGAGUGGCGAACGGGUGAGUAACACGUGAGUAACCUGCCCUUGACUUUGGGAUAACUUCAGGAAACUGGGGCUAAUACCGGAUAGGAGCUCCUGCUGCAUGGUGGGGGUUGGAAAGUUUCGGCGGUUGGGGAUGGACUCGCGGCUUAUCAGCUUGUUGGUGGGGUAGUGGCUUACCAAGGCUUUGACGGGUAGCCGGCCUGAGAGGGUGACCGGCACAAUGGGGACGAGGGACGGGCCCAGCCUCCUAGGGGGGGCAGGGGGGGGAAAUUUGGCACAAGGGGGGGAGGCCGGAGGGGGAAACCCCGGGGGGGGGAUGACGGCCUUCGGGUUGUAAACCGCUUUCCCCUGGGACGAAGGGGGAGGGGCGGUAAGGGGUAAAAAAGCCCCGGCAAACUGCGU